rnacentral:lncRNA from 1 species
AAAAGAAAAAAAAUAGAAAAGAAAGAAUUAAAAAGAGGAGAAAUUAUAUUUGGAACUAGAAAGAAGUAGCAAAGCCAUGGAGGACCACAGGUGCGAUGCUGGGGCAGAAACGUAGUGGAAUGAUAGUUGUGAAUGUUCCCCACAAGGUGUGUCUGGCAUAGGGACAUCACAUGUAUUAACUCAACCUUCACAGCAAUGUCAUUUAGUAGGUACUAUUACUGCCGUUUUACAGGUUAGAAAGCUGAGGCACACAGAGAGGGCAAGUAACAGGCCUGAAGUUACACUGCUGGUGAGUCACAGAGCCAUGCUUCAAACCUAGCCUCCUGGCUUCCGAGCCCAGCACUUGGCCACGGCGCUGUGUAGGCUGGCUGGGGCUUGAGUGCUUCCUGGAUGUUUAUGGAAUAUUUUCAAGAGAAAUAUUUUCCUGAGAGCCGACGCCUCCUCUGAAACCCUGCAGCCUUCUCAGCAGGAAACAAUCAGAAGCUUGGCCUUGCCUGCAAAACUCAACACUGAACACCUGAAG